rnacentral:rRNA from 1 species
AAAGGAAUAGACGGGGGCCCGCACAAGCGGAGGAGCAUGUGGCUUAAUUCGAUGCAACGCGAAGAACCUUACCAGGGCUUGACAUGCAACUGCAAGUCCCGUGAAAGCGGGAUGCCUUCGAGGGUGUUGCACAGGUGCUGCAUGGCUGUCGUCAGUUCGUGCCGUGAGGUGUUGGGUUAAGUCCCGCAACGAACGCAACCCUUGUGUUUCAGUUGCCACCGCCGGUGAUGAGCCGGCGAGCACUCUAAACAGACUGCCCAUGUUAAGUGGGAGGAAGGUGGGGAUGACGUCAAGUCAGUAUGGCCCUUAUGCCCUGGGCUGCACACGUGCUACAAUGGCCGGUACAGAGGGAUGCAAGACCGCGAGGUGGAGCUAAUCCCAUAAAACCGGUCUCAGUUCAGAUUGGAGUCUGCAAUUCGACUCCAUGAAGUUGGAUUCGCUAGUAAUGGCGCAUCAGCUACGGCGCCGUGAAUACGUUCCCGGGCCUUGCACACACCGCCCGU